CUCCAUGGGAGAGGGACCUUCGCCCGUCACAGCCUUCCCAGCUGGGAGAAGCAGUGCCGGCUCUGGUCCCGGAGUCCUAUCAGCCGAGCCUGUGGCGAAUUAAUCACUCGCAUUUUAAAUGCCAAUACAGCCCUUUCUGCCUUCUUCCCCCAGUGAUGCGGAUGCGGCGAAGGCAGCAAAUCCUCCGGCUGUGCGUGCCCUCCCCGGACUGCUGCUCCGUCCCCGCCUGUCGUGCUCGCCUGUGUGCGUGGCUGGGAGCGCUGCCUAGGUGCAGCCAGGAAUGAGACAGCUGUGGGGCAGGGGACAGCACAGCUCCAAGGGGUGACACAAGGUGGGGGGCAUAUUCCCCACCCCCCACCUCCCAACCCAGCCCCGCUUCCCCCCGAACACGCAUCCGCAGGGCUGCAAGUUGCUUGAAGAACAGGGGUCUUUUGUGCCUCCACUUCGUCUCUGUCAUGCCCCGUAUGGAAGCUGGGAGCAAUCGCCCCUCCAGAAGCAGAAGGCGAAGUCGUUCGCAAUGAAUCCAUGGCAGCUUCGAUCGAGCGGUGAGCCGGAGCACCUACUCACAGGCCGCUCCUGGAUGUGACUGAGGAGAGAGGCCUUUCCCAGCACUUGCCGAGGACGAGCAGAUCCCUGGAUUUACCUCCCGGGCACCCCCAGCACCAGCACGGCGAGAUUCCAGUGACAGAUGGAUCACUCUCGUGAGCACUUGCUCUUUCCCUCUCUGUAUUUUUGUUUUCGACAUGUUUGAUCUGAAGCUCUGAAGCUUCUCAGAGGGAACCUGGGAGAGAAGGAAGAGAAGCAGAAGGAACCGAGGCAGCGUGAGCAACAGAGGAGGCAUCUCUGCCUUGUU